AGAGUUUGAUCCUGGCUCAGAUUGAACGCUGGCGGCAUGCCUUACACAUGCAAGUCGAACGGCAGCGGACCUUCGGGUGCCGGCGAGUGGCGAACGGGUGAGUAAUAUAUCGGAACGUACCUUUCAGUGGGGGAUAACGUAGCGAAAGUUACGCUAAUACCGCAUAUUCUGUGAGCAGGAAAGCAGGGGACCUUCGGGCCUUGCGCUGAUUGAGCGGCCGAUAUCAGAUUAGCUAGUUGGUGAGGUAAAGGCUCACCAAGGCGACGAUCUGUAGCGGGUCUGAGAGGAUGAUCCGCCACACUGGAACUGAGACACGGUCCAGACUCCUACGGGAGGCAGCAGUGGGGAAUUUUGGACAAUGGGCGCAAGCCUGAUCCAGCCAUGCCGCGUGAGUGAAGAAGGCCUUCGGGUUGUAAAGCUCUUUCGGCCGGGAAGAAAUCGUAUAGGUUAAUACCCUGUGCGGAUGACGGUACCGGCAUAAGAAGCACCGGCUAACUACGUGCCAGC
rnacentral:rRNA from 1 species